ensembl:lncRNA
CGCAGGUGAAGGCAAUGCAGUGAUAGGAAGGGGUAGAGCCUGGCUGCACCUCUCUUAGACCUCAUUUAAGGGCUGACUGCCACUGGGGAAGGACCUCUGGUUGGAGAUCUCUCUUUGGUGGAGCUUCCCUUGCAAACCUAGGUCUUCAGAGACAGGAUUCUCCAAUCAAGGGCGAUGGCUGCUGCUCCUCGUGGCCUCCCUGUGCUGCUUUUUGCUGGGCACACGGAGCUGCUCCGACCAGAGGAGAGCAGAGGAGGGAAGGAAGAGCUUUGCCAUGCACCGGCAGCAGCAGGCAUGGGUGUGCAGCACUGCAGAAACCUCAUCCCAAGCAGCACUCCGCUGGCAUCGUUAGGAGCAGGGCACUGCCAUCAGCACUGCUGCCUCCAGCUGCUGAGCUCUGCUCCUCAGGAAAACCAGGUGGAGGAAAGAAAUUGCAGCCCCAAAGGGGAGGAGGGUGUUCAGCAGCUCUCCCUGCAGCUCUCUGUGCAUGCUCUCCGUGCAGGUUGUCCAUGCAGGCUCUGCAUGCAUGCUCUCCGUGCAGGCUCUCUGUGCAUGCUGUCCGUGCAGUCUGCCCAUGCAGCACACUCUCCUGCCUCCCCUCCAGGCCACUGUGGUUCACAGCAGCAGAGGAGCCUUGGUAGCCUUGGGAGAAAUUCUUGACAUGCAAACAGUUUCAGACUGCACACAGCCCAACAUUGCUGCAGUGAAUCUGGUCCAGGGGUACUUGUGGUGCAAAAGCCUUAAUGAGAAAAUACUCUUUGCCUCCCCCAUUGCCUGUGGGACAGCUGGCAUGGUGCAGGGCUGGGAAGGAGCAUGGCUGCAAGGAGGCUCCUCCUUUGGGCGGGAGAGUCUUUCUUCCAUUGGGAAACCAUAAAGAAAAGCAUUGCACAAUCUCAGCCUAAUUAGCAAUUGCAACUUUUCUUUUCUUUUUCUUUUCUUUUUCUUUUUUUUUUUUUUUUUUUUUUUUUGUUGGUUUGUUCUGAGUUCUGCAAACAAAACUCCCAUCCGAUCUGUGCAUGGAGGAAGCACUGCUUCACUCGGAGAGAUCUGCCACAGAGGCACCAAAAACCUCUCUGGAGGAGAGGUAGGAAAACAAGUUGGUCAGCCCCAAAAUGUGUUCGGUCCUGUGGGAGCUGCCCUGUGUGUGCAGACCUCACACCUCAGCGCAGACUCGACAGAUCUCUGCUGGGUGCUACAAAAAGCAUUUCCUGGUGGCAACAAAGGAAACCUUGGUGGUUAGACUGAGACAGAAAUGAUGGAUGUGCCAAACAACUGCUCCUUGACCAACGCAACUCACAGACAAAUCAAGACAAUUUAAAUGCAGUUAAAGCCAUUAAUGACAACAGCUGCAAAAGCCAAUGGGAGAAGGGCUGAGGAAACGAGCAGUCAUUUGUACACAAGUGUGAGGUGCUUUGAGAGAGGGUCUAUUAAAAAGUUGCGCAAAGCACAAGGCCCAGAGCAUGCAGCUAAGAAGCCAUGAGGAAUAAUGCUCAGAAGCCAUUGGCUGAAAAUGGACUCUUAACAGCAACAAAAAAUCAGAUAUGAUCCAACAUGUCUGCCGUAGCUGUUUCAGCUUGGUGGAAGGCUGAAGAGGGGGAAUUCAAGCCAUGUGCUGGAAGAUGCAGCAGGAGCCAAAGCCAUGAUGGUCUGGAUGGUGUAAUGUUGGAGAGUUGUCUUAAUCUGAGCGAAAACAAGCUUUGUGGGACUGCGAAGUACAUAAAUAUUUAAUUUUAACCUGGAAUAAUUUUCUAAAGUGAAAAGACAGCUUUUCUGCCCAAAGAAACCAACAUUUCAUCCUGGCACGAUGCUCCUGCGAACACAGGCAUUUUGCUGAAAAACAGGUAAAUUGCUGCUGGGAUGGAAUUCACAGGGAUCCUUGCAAAAACAACAGAAAGCAGACAAAACCAAAACAACGACCCAGAAGCUGAAGAAAACGGGAAUUUCUCCACUAAUAAAGUGGUGUUCUUCCUGCCUGCCCCAGCCCUGCAGCCUCCCACGUGCCUCAAUUCACACUGUGCUUUGGGACAGUGCCGGAGGGGGGGCAUUUGGUGACAGUGUGCACGGGGCCAAGAGUGUCCCUUGUCCAUGUGCUCACUUCUUCCCUGGAGGUUGCAAUCAUCCCCACGCAGCGGCACCCAACCCCAGGGGCCCUUGCUCAGCACUGCCCUACUGCACCCAUCCCAUCCAUCCAUCUGGCCAUCCCAUCUGCCUAACCCAGUGCAUCCAGAGCCCCCAUCCCAUGGCUCGGGCUGUUCCGUUUCAUGGCAGCCCGAUGUCCUUGCCCUGAUAGCUAUGAGAGGAAGAGGACUGGGAGCCUUGCAGUGACCAAAAAAGUCUUGAAAACACUUUCAUGCUAAAAAUCCCAUAUUUGACAGAAGCGUGAGAUACCUUGAGGCCUUCUAUUGAUUACCUGGGAGCAGAAGUGCACCGGCGCUUUGAGCUGUCACAGUUCCAGGCAUUUCUGAAAACGAUAGAAGACUGGAACAAAAACACAACUAGGGCUCCUGACACAGUGUGUUAAGCAAUAAAACAUGUUUAAUUGUGUUGUCUUAAGGCUAUAACCACUCGCUGGCUGAAGGUCAUUCACUACCCAUGCUGCCAGUGGAAAGAGGUGCUCUGACAGGUGGGAUCCAGAUAGGAAACAGAUACCUAUGAGAUUACAGUGUGAAUGACACCGAGAUGCCAGUGGUGGUGUAGUUAAAGGAGGCAGGAUGAGCAGCAGGCAGGACACUGCCUGACUGGCGGAUCUAUAAAGGGGAUGUUAUACACACAGAGGGCAAGAUGGAAUUCAACCAGGUAUCCUCUGGGGCCAUCUCACCACUGCAUGGCAUCACUGCAUUGCUCUGUGUUGCCUCCUGCCCCAGCAGUGCGGGACCUGGGUGCACCAAGUACAGAGCACCCACUGUCCCCAAGCCAUGGGGCCAUGCAGGCUCUGCUAGGAGCCCAUCCCUGUGCAGUGAUCCUCCUGCAGCAACACCGUGCCCCAGGGAUCCUGUAGGCAGGCGUUCAAGGGCGAGUGCCUGGGAGUGGUCCACUUUAAUGGGUCAUUAACCUCCUUAAUGAAGUGGCCCAAGCCACCAUUUUGUCUUCAUGACUCUGGACUCCCUUCCUUUGGAUUGCAGUAGAGCUGUCCAGAAAAGGCAGACCUGCAAAAAGAAGGCAAUCAGAUAGAAGGGAAAAAAGGUGAACGUGAGGGAAAGGCUGGAAAUUGGUCCCCAGUCUGCUGCUUGGGGCAGAGGACAACUUGGAGUGGCCCAUGGACCUGGUGAGAGGCAGCAGCUUGACACUCGCCAGGGUUGCAUCCUUGUCUGAAGAUGGAGGAAUCUGUCUUGUGAGACGUGGAGUUUUAGAAACCAAACUGAAGAAUGGGGGCAGGAAAUGGACAUGUGAAGAACAUGUGAAGGAGUGGUUUGUGGUUGGUAUUGCUUUCUACCUGGUUCAUACCAGGUGGUGGGGACCAGAGAGCUGCAGGAGGGAGAGAGCAUGCAGCCAUCCUGGAGCAUGAACUCAACCCUUCUUCAGCACAAGGUGUGUCUGGAAGCAUGAACCAGGAAUGCAUAGGAUUCCCUAUGCAAAGAAAACAUGGAACACACCAUAUGUGAGUGCCUGUUCUGAUCCGAAGGGAUUCCACUGUCCAUGGUGAGAGACAUCACGGCCUUAAAGUGGGAAUUUGGGGAGAAAUUCCAGAUGUUCCUUGCCUAGAUACUGUCUGGUCCACUGGAUGGCAUGUGCAGAUCUACCUUUCUGAGCUAACUUCUGCAUUCCGAGGCUCCUGCAUAUGGAAAAGGUUUGAGGUGUCUCAUGUUUAAUGAGAAACAGAAAAGAUUAGCUUGUAGCAAGGUAUUUAAUUAUUGGGAUAUUUCUGCUCCGGCUGCAUCCUUUGCCUCUCCAUGCGGGAAGUGCCAAAUUACAUGUCACCUCGGAGGGCAUAUUUUCUGUAGUUUUCAGGGCUCCUACAAUGGCAGCCUCAUGAAUAUUUACUGAACUGCUCAGAUAUGCAGCAGUGGGAACAAAUAAAAAAAAAGCUCGUAUUUGCAUCUCCCACAGACACUAACAAACCGCGUGGCUCUGGUAGGGAGAAGAUGGGAGAUUGCUGUUGCCUUUCCAGAGGGAUAGAGAAAACAGCUUCUCGUAUAAUGAGAUUGACUUUUAAAUUGAAAGUGUUACUGGUUGUGCCGCACUUCAUACUUCCAUGCUGUGCACUUACUCCCUAGGCUCUAACAUUAAGACAUCUUAUGUACAAGCUGGGAGGAUUCAAUUAGAGUUUCUGUUAUUAAUCAAUCAAUUAAGCCACGAUCUUUGGUAGAUACAUUUAGAUACUCCUAAAGAGGGGAGGUGUGGGCAUUACAAGUCUUUGGGCCACCAGCUUCUCUGGCUGGAGGUUGGUGGCUGCUGCCAGCUGCUGGAGCCACGUGCCCCAAGGCUGCAGGGGGAUGCUGGCACUGGGCUCUGCACCUGCCAGUGCCUGAUCCUAAUGGUCACCGAUUCAGCAAGAAGCCUGACCUGCCUCUUGUGCUCCCCAACCGACAUGAGGCAGUGAGAUGGGACAGAUUCAGAGCCUCCUGGGUUUUCCUGAGCAUUUCCUCAUCCAUCCAAAGAAAGUUCCUUGGUGUGAACGGGGGCUGAAGGCAGCGCUGCCAGGAACUGCAUAGGGGAAAGUGAGAGAUGAAAAAUCCUUGUGCACAACUUUAGGUACGGCACAGGCUGUGCCUUUAUCAGGGGGCCUGUGGGGGUCUCAUCCAAAUGGGAGCCGCAGCCUCCAGGGGAGGACGUGGAGAGCUCAGUGAUGCUGAGCUGAAGUUUGAACACUUGAAGAGAAGUGGAUGUGUGAGCGCUGUCUAUAGGUGAGGAUAAAAAAAAAGGAAAGAAAAGGGAGGAUUAAAUGGCAAUGUUACCUUUACUCUUGUCAAAUACCUAAGUAGAAACAUUGGUUAAUGCCCUUAAAAAAGGCCCAUUACCACAGGGCACAGAGUCAAAGAGCCUGGCUGCCCUAAUACUCAGUUAUCUCGUUCCUGGAUAAUGGAAUGACCCCUCGCCUGCCCGAGCUGUACUACGAUAUAAUAGCAUGAGCCGUGUGAAUAAAGAGGUUAUUUUUGGAAUCCAAUUGAAACAGUGCUGGAGCUUGUGUGACAGGGGAAGGAUUGAACAAGAUGCAAUGCUCUACGGCAAGGGGAAAAAAAUUGAAUUUUGGGGAAAGUGCUGCCUGCAGUGAACUGGGCAGGGGCAGCCAGCAGGGCUCAGGGCUGGGACAGUGCCUGCCCCACAGCUGCAGCCUCAGUGCUCGGCCUUUGCACACGCACAAAGUUAAGAGACACAGUGCGAUGCUAAUUCUGGGUGCGCAGCAUCCAAUACGUAGGACUGCAAUUCAUCAAAGAGGGAGAGACAAGGAGCACGAGAGAUUCAGCGUGAACGUAGAGAUGAAAAUGAAUAUUAAUUUACAAAGCAGCACAAAGACAAUGGGAUUCAAGGAGAUUGAUAUCACAAACUCCCCUUAUUCAAUCAGAUUACGGUCCCAUCUUCCCCAAACACCAAUUGCUAAUCUAGAUUCGAAAGACAAAUCCUCCUGCAGAAGGGCUUUGCCUUUAUCUUGUUCGUCUGGUGCUUCUGCUUAAGACGUUACUCCAGUUUUGGGGGGGAGCUGGGGAGGAAGAAACCUUAUGCAGCGUUUAACCGCAUCGCUGCUGAAGCACCGGGAGGAGAGAGCUCUGACGGCGAGCCCCUCCUGCAGCCUGCCCAUCAAAGGCGAGGCACCAACGGGAUCCACGCGAGGCUCAGCAUCUCCCAGCAGCGCACAUAGCCCUGCCGACGAUCACAUCGACCUCACUCCGGCAGCGGUAGCGAUCAAUAUAUUUUUUCCUCCCUUAUUGUUUCUUACAAGCACUUAGAUACGUUUGUCCUAUAAAAAUGGUAAGCUGUCCAGGGCGUCAUUUGCGUUCGGGGACCUGGGGGUCCCCAGCAGUUUGAGCCCGUGAUUAUUAGCACCGCCGCCGGUAUCAGCGCUGUCACCGUGCCGUGACACCACAUCUGGCAACCUUGGUCAGGCAGCAGCUCGUUUUCUCAUGUCACUGCUUCUUCCACAUCCCGUUAAUCAUGGAAGAGUGUCUCUCAGCUUGCCAUGUGCAAGGGCAGGGCUGGCAAAGAAUCCCUCGGUGGCAGCUUUUGUGAUAGCCAAUGCCACCCCGCGCUGUGACAUCACCCCAUGCUAUGACGUCAUACCAUGCUGUGACAUCACCCCAAGCUGUGACACUGCCCUGAGCGUUCUGCAGGCACGUGGCUCGUCUGCUGCAUGCCGACUAACACAUGCCUAAUUGAAAGAUGAGCAAAACUUGAAAAGAGAUGGUAAUUACCAGUGGGGUUUAAAUGCAGUUUGUGUUUUACUACUUAAAAGCAAUUUAAUAAAAAAAGAAAAAAAAGCAAAAUUGCAUUAAUUUGUGUUACGAUCCGUUAUUAAAACCACUUUGUGGUUAAACUCACAAGUGGAGAUGAUGAUCCCGAUAAGGUAAGCACAAGGCAGGAGCUGAGAGCUCUCAGAAUCAGGACCCGCCAGCGCCUUCUGCUUCUCUAAGACACCAGAAAAUACGGGUUGUUGCUGCUUAACUUCCAGGUUGCAAAUGGGAUGUGAUAAAGAAGUGAAAUUUUUAAGAUGAUAAUUUAUCUAUGCCUGUCUAGUAAUUAUGUAUUUUAUUUGUGUAGCACGUGCGGUACAAUAAAUGUUACAGAUUCAAAGCGGUGUUAUUUGUACUUUACAUGUCAAGUGUUUCUGACAUAUACAUGCAUUUCAAGUGGAAUUAUUUUUUUUUCUAUUCGAUGCAAAUGGCUCUGUAUUCCACUGUGGUUGAGUAAACUGUGUAUUCUCUCCCUGUCAAUGAUCUCCUUGGAAAUAGAUGUCAGCCAAUCAGUCAGUUAAAAAAAAAACAAACCACCACACGCCCAACAAAAACCCAGCGACCAAACAAACCAGCCUCUCCAAUUUACUGCCGCUCCGCUCCGUGCAGAGACAAAGGAACAGAGCCCCAUGGCAGCAGGCAGCUGAUGCACAUUAUGAGGCUGGAAUGGGACAGCCCAGAGGGCUCUGCUCAGGUUUGCUCUGAUUCCGUCCACCUCUUCUACCCGUGGGGCUCCUCCUGCAUGAGGCUUUGGAGUGAAGGAGAGAAGAAAAGGAACUUUUUGGUCAUUAAAGCUUGAGACUUUGGGAGGCAUCAAGCUGUAGGUUCAUCGCGGCGCAGUCGGACUCGAGGACCUCUGAGGGUCCCUAUUGACUCAAACCAUCCUGUGGUUGUAUGACAGCAGAUGCUUUCUGCAGCGAUGGAGAUGACAAAAAGAAUACCAACCCGAUUGCACAUCAAACUGAAUUUUGGGAUCAAAAUAAAAAAGUGUCAGCCCUCCUUCCCUCCCAGCCCAGAACCAAGAGCCAUUCACCCACAUAUGCCAGCAGUGCUGUGGCAUGGGCAAGCAGCAUCAGCCCUGUGCUGCGGGGCCGGGAGCGGUGGGCACCUGUGGGCAGCACACAAAGACCUCCUUCAUCAGCCAGGGCUCCCCAUGCCCACCCUACAAUGUCCCCUUCCUUCCCCACCAACCCGCCAGCAUUAGGGGCUGCAAUUAAAAUGCGCAGCUCAUUCCGCCAUGAAAACACAAGGAAAGGGCACAGGCAAAAAAACAUGAAUACCCAAACGAUCCGACUGCACCAAGGUUUAAAUAGCUUGCUCACUGCGAUCCCCCUUUGAAGCUGAUCAGAAUCACGUCCUUUGCUAUUAAGGUGAUUUUUAUCAGCUUUCGCUGCGCUUCCCUUUUCAAGCGCUCAUUUGAGCCGGAGCCGGGAAGGAGCGCUCACACUCCACGCUUUGCUUUCUAUUGUUGUUCUUAUUUUACUACACAGGGGAGAAGUAAUCUUUUUUUUCUCCCCUUGGCCUAGAGCUAUUGUACAUAUGCAAAUGUGGCAAUGGCAGCCAGCUAUUUAUAGCUCGAGUUCUUGCUACACUUAUCACAACCACUGCAGACUUUUAAAAGCAGAACCCACACACACAGUAUUUUUUCCCCAGGAUAUAAAUUUCCCAUCCCAAUGCAGCCUGGCCCGUCGCAUGCAACAUUGAUUGUCUGUUAUAUUACAUUUAUUAAGGAGUGAUAACUUGUAAUAAUUGGAUGUUAAAUUAAAGAACUCUUUCC